UGUGCGAUGAUCGCUGCGGCCAUGAGAGUCCGUGGAAAAGAAGGUUUCUGAAUAAGACAUUAAAGGAAGAGCUUCUCUGAAACGAAUCCUCCCAGGGCACAAGCGAGCCUCCUUGGGGACUUCUCCAGGCAAGAAUGACCACAGCAGUGAGGAAGGCUGUGUCCCAGUGCCCUGGGAUCCUUCAGAAGCAGGAUAGGAUUCUGACCAUGAACAUGGAAGCAGAGGACCGAUCGUAGGGGAAAGAGACCAUGCUGCCAGCACACGGUCACGUGCCGGUUUCAAGUUUCUGGCUAAGCUGCCCAGUCUCGGAGCUCUUUAGCCACUGUGUUCUUGAAACUUCAAAGGAAGGGCUUCACCGUAUCCCUUCUUGCUGAAAGGCCAGCGGAGACUGUUUUUAGAAAACUUGUUAUCUCUGGAGACAACAAAUGCAAAGUUUGGAAAAAUUCUCCGGCUCAGCAGAUGCCUUGGCCUCACCCACACGGUGGCCCGAGAAGUAAGGAUGAGGCGUCCAGCUCAGGUCAAGAACUUGCUGAAAGAAGAUCCCACAGGUGACUCUUCAGAGAUGCCAGAGCUGGGAGAUGCCUCAGAAUGUUCCAGUACCUUAGACCAGCAUUAGAGAACCUCCAGAUGGAAGGCCAAGCGGCUGCCCUGCCCCAGAGAAGAGUUUCAAGCAGGAGAGGGAAGCAGAAGGCACGACGGCAAUGAAAGUGGCCCAAACCGCAGGCCGGACCGGACGGAGGCUCCGUGAGGAAGAAGCACGUCCCAUCCUCCUCUGAGCGCCGUGGGACUUGGGGUGGAGGCUGGCCAUGGCUGCGGACACUGUGGUCCAGGCGGACGGACCAGCGCUUCUGCGCGGUCGUGGGCGGAGAUGCGCCCCUGACUGAAGACGGGCCUGCCUUCCCUGGGACGACUUCCAGCUCAUGUAAGAGGAAGGUGACCCCGUCCUUGCUGUCACUCCUUCCCCCGGAUGCCCCCCCAACCCAGGCAGCCUCUCCAGGUUCACCCUGAUACCCAGAGGUUGGCAGGGGCCUCCUCCCCACUGCGUCUGCUGCCGCCUGGCAGUGCCCUGGGGGGGCGGGGGGCUACGGCAGGGUCAAGAAGGACUGGGUACCGCUGCAGAGCUGUCCGCGCAUGUGCUGGCUGGCAUGGGGAUCGCCCUCCCCAUGAACUUGUAGCCUGUGCCUGAAACAUCUCUGUGCUCACGACACCUGGCUGAGCACCUGGCGUGGAGCGGGGGGCUCCCGUGGCUCCCGGCAGCCAGGGAGUUCAUGGAGCCCGGGGGGGGGGGGGGACAGGUGUUCGUGACCACCCGAGGUGAGCCCCCUCGCCCCCUAACCCCCAGUGAGUCCAUCCUCCCCUCCGCGCGUGACGAAUGCCUGGGGUCCCAAGCACAGAACGCGCACGGCACCCCUUGUCUUUCAUUAGCCGCGGAGUCCCCGUGUCCCCCACGAACAAGGGACAAACCCCGUGUAUACGUGCAGGGUUUUGAAUCGCCAGGGAGGACUCCUCUGCUUUCCUUUAAAGCUAGUAAGUUGGAAAUGUUGUUGACCAGAUUCGCAAGAGCUAGGCCCGGAUGCUGGCAGCGCCCCUGGCACCCGCGUCUCCUGGGAGCCUGGGCUGCUUCUAAACAGCCAAACCCUGAAGCCAGUGGAGAUGCGAGCACUUUGCUGAGGGUUAAGGAGGGAAAGCAAAAGAAAGGGAGGGCCCUUGGCGGUCGCCUCCGUAUCUGCUCACCGGGGCCUCUGGGCUCACGGGAAGGUCUCUGGGCAGGAGCACAGCUGCCGCCAGGGGGCUCUGCUCCAGGCUUGGAAGCUUUUAGCUGGAAUGUCAUUUCCAGUAUUGACGAUGGGUGUCUGGAAUACUCUCUCAAAGUACUCCCCUGAUGACCUUCCCAACACCCACUGAAGAGAAAUUCAUGCAGACAGGUAGGGGCGUGGAGAUGGCUAACCAAGUGAAGGCGUUGGGGGAGCAGGGCGCUGGAGGGGCAAGUGCCUCUGAGCUUGGUGCUCCUAGGCAGCUGGCAAAGCUGCUCCAGAGGCUUCUAGAAAACUGCUUGAGAAACCAAGUCUAGAAGGAAAGCCGUAAAGGGCUUCGUGAUAUGUAAAGCCCCCCCUCCCCAUCCCCACCGCCCCCCAGCCCGUGCAGGACACCAGGAGAGCCCUGCUUCCGGAAAGGCCGAGCCAGGCUCUCUGUUGCCCGCUCAGCACUGGCCAGCCGCACUGGGCCUCUGAGCCUCUCGGCCCGUGUGUGACGCCCUCAUGGCGGCGGCGGCGGCGGCCCUGCCUGCAGUGCCCACACUGCCGAGGGCUUCGGGUCUCUCGUGACCCCCUACAGCCCUGGGAACUAGGCUGUUCCUGCCCUGGCGCUAGAACGAGGAAAGGAACUCAAGUUACAUCACUCAGCCAAUAGCAUGCAGCUGCUAAGUGGACAUGCAGGGGCUCAGUGCCAGAAGUUUCCACGCACCCCUCAUGGGACUGUUCCUUGUGUUGCCGGAAUCGCCAGCCCACUUUGCCUCUGAUGUGUGGCUGUGCUGAAGUGGUCUCCGUCCACAGCGCCUUCUGCAGCCUGUCAGAGCCACAAAAUGGUUUCUAAGAGACCAAGUCUAGCAGGAAGAACCUCCCGGUGCCGGUGACAGCCGCGGUCGAGAGAGGCCUCCGGCUUCCUGCCAGCAGCCCCUGGGAUUUCUGCUGUGGCAGCUCAGGGAACCGCUCGAAUCGCAGCAGAUGCAGAAACCUAGGAUUCUGCUCAAGAUCCUGCGAGUCAGGAAAGUGGGCCGAGCAGAGCAGGAGAGAGUUAGGUCUGAUCCGGGCCUCAGCCAGAGUGGCCCAGGGGCUGGGUUGCUAAGAUGGUUGGAUUGUGGCCGGAGUUCAGAGGCCUUGGUUCUGUGUGCCAGCUGCCUUCCCUGCCUUCCUCCUCUUCAUGGGGCAUCUGCCGAAAUGGGGCCAAAAUGCCCAAAAUUGCUUUUUCACUCGUGUUCAGUGCUUCUGUGUUCUCCCUUGUGGUUUCUCUCUUCAGAGUGACUAAAUAUAAUAUCUGCUCUUUGGUGCCACAGAACGUGCCUUGCCCCAAGCCCCUUCUGCAGGGGCGCCACCGCCCGGGCCUGCGACCGUGCUUCUUAGCCCCUCCCCCCCCAGGAGGACCAGGACCCAGUAGAAGCUGCCCAAUGACUUUUGAAGUCCCCUGGCUGGCUCAAAAAUUUGAGGAAUGCCAGUCAGACCAGUCAGAGUUCCCCUUUGGGGACAUUUGAAUCAAAAAAUCAGACAGUAUCAGCACAGUGCCUGACAGGAUGUCAUGAGGGCCAAUAGGGCCCUGGUGGGCCAGUGUGCUGGCCAGGAUUAAGCUGAAGAAGGAAUGCUGGAGAUAGAAGAGAAAACCGGCUGUGACACGAGAGAACGCACUGAGUGUGGAGGGAGCCACGAGGCUGUUCUGGCGACGGGAGAAAGGAGGGAAUGGCGAGCGCAGAGCAGAGACCUGUGAGAGGCCGAGGGGGAAGCCAGUCCCAGGGCCACCCGAGUGCCCUCUGGCCCCCGGGCCCGGCCUGGCCACAUGUGUCAUGGCAGCUGGCCCGUUACUUAUUCCCUAGACUGUCAGGUGGCGUUGAACUGGGCGUGUGACCUGGCUCCAUGAAUGAAAAUUAUGAGGAAGUGGCUUGAGAACCUUCUAGGAAGAACUUUGCUUUUUGGUUAAAGAGGGGAGGAGCCUGUCCCUCCUCCCGCUUUGAACGCGGAUGUCGGCGGGCACAAUAGUUAGGACCGUAGCCACCGUCCUGAGACCUAGAGGCAACCAGACCAAAGGAAAAAGCCAACAUACCAAGGUUGGCCUAGCGGACAGACAAAAAGAGCCCGAGUCCUUGAUGAUAUCGUUGAGCCACUAUACCUAUCCUGGAACCCGAUACAUUAAUUAAAUGUCCUUAUUUUUAAAGCAGAUUUCUGCUGUUUGAAACUGAGACAUUCGUAACCAGUGUAUCAUUCUUCUGAAUCUGCCCAUCAGCGACCCCUUAGAGCCCCAUUGUACUUGGUUGAGAUACAAAUGGAAACCUAUGGCCCAAACUUAGCCAGUGGAAAUCUGACUUCCAUGGUAGGAAAUACAGGCCAAGAUUUCUCACAGCCUACAGAGCAAUUCCAGCUCAGUCCCAAAUCCCAGGGCCUGCUGGACACAAACGAGGAAAGACAGACUCAGGAAAGUUCUAGAUACAUGGAGAGGAGUCUUCUAUUACGGGGCUCAGUGAUGAAUUUGUGGAUGAACCAGUUCAGUGGAGGGAGAGGGGGAGAGCCUAAGCAUGGGCCAGAAAGCCGCGGAUAGCACGCCGAGGGAGCAGCGAGCCUACGGGCAAGUGGGGCGGGUCAGGUCACUGCUGUAGGAGGCCAGGGUGCGCAGCAGGAUUUUCUGAGGACCGGGGACUCCCUGGCGGGGGGGUUGCGCUGUGGUGACUGCAGCUAAACUGGGGGGAUACUCGGCAUUUUAGUGAAGCCUCCUGCCAGUCCUAGUGGAAUUUUAGGUCCUCUGAGGAACAAGGAGGCCUGAAUUGUGACUGUUCACCCUUCGUGUGGGCGCCCCCCAACCGCCACGCUCUUCACUCUCUUCUCCACCUGUCCCCUUUUCUCCACCACUUCUUCCUGUCUUCUCGGCAAAGCCAGGAGCCGGAAACGCACCCGGUCUCUUCUACCUCAGUUGGAGAGUAAAGAAACCGAGAGGCAAUGCCUUUAGGAAACAUCGAAGCUUCGUCUGGGCUGCUGAGAACGGCAUAAAGCUGUCGGCUGCCCCGACUUUGAUCAAGCGAGGGCACGGGGGCGGGGCUUGCCUCUUCAACUCCCCACAGAGAACGUGUGGUCCUUCCUUCCCUGAUGAAAUGCGAGGUCGAACUCUAGGCCUUCCUCUUUCGAUUUCCAGUUUCGGACACACAACAAAGACACACUGGCGUCGUCCUCACACAGUGAGAACUUGAGAGAAGCCACCCACCCGUCUGACACCCCCAGACCGUCAGUAGUAGUAGACAUGUGGCCCGUGGAAGGUCAUCAGACGAAUGGGGCCCCAACACGGAUGUGUUGCAAUGACAUUCGAAUUUGUGACCAGCAGAUUCUGCCACUAAGCCCCGUGCCCCCUGCAUGUCGCAGGGGUCACCCCCCCACCCAGGGGCCCACACCAGGCCAGCCCUGAUGUUUGUCCACUGUGUUACUUCAUUUACUUAGCAGAAGUGUACUGAAUACCUAGUAGAAUUAUAAGCCAGGCCCAGAAAAGCAAUGAUGCUCUUAGGAAGAUAAGUCACUAAAGACGAAAACAGAACACAAUUCCUGACAUAAUCAGAGAAAAGAAUGAAAGCUCUGGGGUGGAUGAGAAAGUUUACCCCCUCCUGUGAUGUGAUCGAUGCUUCGAUGUGCCCUGACACCCCCGCCACACCCCCCAGCUGCCCCAUCCGUUGCGAAGGUUUCUCUGAAAUCCAAUAAGGAAAAGAACCGAAGGCUUUUCUUCCCUCCGGGUAAUCAAGGUUUUUUCUCCAGUAUGAAUUGGCCUGAUUACGGAUUAAACGCUCUCCCCCAGUCUGUGCAACCCGAGAGUCUUUCCCAUGAAUUCUCCAGUGACGAGAAAAGGCUACAGAUCCCCAAGUGAUUUUCCGCAUUGAUGAUACUCACGGGCUUCUCCUGAGGAUGAAUGAUCUCGUGGUCAGAACGCUCCGCACUUCCCCUAGAUAGUCUCCAUGUGCGUCACACGUGACCGCCUCACGUCCCCACGAAAUUAGCUGACGUCGUCUAAGGGUGGAACGCGGGCUGAAGGCUCUCCCUCACCCAUUAUGCUCGCCGAGCACCUCCCUGCUCUGAGAUCCCAGAUGUCUAAUUAGCUCCGAGCACCGUCAAAGCAUUUUCACAGCCGUUACGUGCGUGUGGCUUUUCUCCAGUGUGAAUUCUCUGACGUUUAAUGAGCUCUUCUGCCUGAAAGCCCUCACAUUUGUUGCAUCUGUAGAGUUCCUGCUGCUUGUGAAUAAGCCGAUUCCGUGUGGUCCUAGGAUGCUGGCAGAUGCCUCCCCAGAUCGGGAUUCUCUGCAAGAGGAAUGUUCCAGUGUGUAGUAGGAUGGGAGCUUCUCCCACUCCCCGAGCCGUGAACGUUGCCUGUAUUCAUAACAAGGUUUUCUAAUACAGAUACUGUAAUGCUGAAUAAAUCCUGACCUCUGUUCUAA